GUGAGGAAUAUUGGUCAAUGGACGCAAGUCUGAACCAGCCAUGCCGCGUGCAGGAUGAAUGUGCUAUGCAUUGUAAACUGCUUUUGUACGAGGGUAAACUCAGGUACGUGUACCUGACUGAAAGUAUCGUACGAAUAAGGAUCGGCUAACUCCGUGCCAGCAGCCGCGGUAAUACGGAGGAUCCGAGCGUUAUCCGGAUUUAUUGGGUUUAAAGGGUGCGUAGGCUGUUUUAUAAGUUAGAGGUGAAAUUCAGUGGCUCAACUACUGACCUGCCUCUGAUACUGUAAGACUAGAGUAUAGUUGCUGAGGGCGGAAUGUGUGGUGUAGCGGUGAAAUGCUUAGAUAUCACACAGAACACCGAUUGCGAAAGCAGCUCUCAAAGCUAUAACUGACGCUGAGGCACGAAAGCGUGGGGAGCAAACAGGAUUAGAAACCCCUGUAGUCC
rnacentral:rRNA from 1 species